AUUAAGAUGUCUGAUAAAAAGUAGUAAACUGUAAAUUUGCUUAUGGACUAACCUGGUUCUCUUAAUA
rnacentral:tRNA from 1 species